rnacentral:tmRNA from 1 species
GGGGGUGAACAGGGUUCGACGAAAGUGAUAGACGUAACGACAGCAGGCCGGAGAUGGUCAAUGGCUCCGUAAAAAAUCGACCAAAAAAUAAAUAACGAAUAUAUUCAAGUCAAUGCUAAAGCCCCUAUGGGCCUUAGCAUGCCAUUAGCCGCUUAGUGCGGUUUCGUUUUACCUUGGACACCUGCUACUAGGAUAAAACGACAGGAGCAGGUUAGUUUUGAGUAGCUUGUGCCGUCAGUUCAAAAUGAAAUUAAAACGGCACUGGUUUAUAACGUAAUCCUGUUCGGAGACAGCGUAAUAAAUAAGGUAUAUCUUCCGAACUAAGCCUGUAGCGGUCUUACUGAAACAUUUUCGGACGCGGGUUCAAUUCCCGCCACCUCCAUUG